rnacentral:rRNA from 1 species
UCGGUCCCUAUCUGCCGUGGGCGCUGGAGAACUGAGGGGGGCUGCUCCUAGUACGAGAGGACCGGAGUGGACGCAUCACUGGUGUUCGGGUUGUCAUGCCAAUGGCACUGCCCGGUAGCUAAAUGCGGAAGAGAUAAGUGCUGAAAGCAUCUAAGCACGAAACUUGCCCCGAGAUGAGUUCUCCCUGACUCCUUGAGAGUCCUGAAGGAACGUUGAAGACGACGACGUUGAUAGGCCGGGUGUGUAAGCGCAGCGAUGCGUUGAGCUAACCGGUACUAAUGAACCGUGAGGCUUAACCUUACAACGCCGAAG